rnacentral:rRNA from 1 species
UGUGUAAGCGUAGCGAUACGUUGAGCUAACCAAUACUAAUGAACCGUGAGGCUUAACCUGACAACACCGAAGGUGUUUUAG